rnacentral:rRNA from 1 species
GAUGAACGCUGGCGGCGUGCCUAAUACAUGCAAGUCGAGCGAAUGGAUUAAGAGCUUGCUCUUAUGAAGUUAGCGGCGGACGGGUGAGUAACACGUGGGUAACCUGCCCAUAAGACUGGGAUAACUCCGGGAAACCGGGGCUAAUACCGGAUAACAUUUUGAACCGCAUGGUUCGAAAUUGAAAGGCGGCUUCGGCUGUCACUUAUGGAUGGACCCGCGUCGCAUUAGCUAGUUGGUGAGGUAACGGCUCACCAAGGCAACGAUGCGUAGCCGACCUGAGAGGGUGAUCGGCCACACUGGGACUGAGACACGGCCCAGACUCCCACGGGAGGCAGCAGUAGGGAAUCUUCCGCAAUGGACGAAAGUCUGACGGAGCAACGCCGCGUGAGUGGUGAAGGCUUUCGGGUCGUAAAACUCUGUUGUUAGGGAAGAACAAGUGCUAGUUGAAUAAGCUGGCACCUUGACGGUACCUAACCAGAAAGCCACGGCUAACUACGUGCCAGCCGCCGCUGUAA